UCUCCGUAGGUGAACCUGCGGAGGGAUCAUUACAAGAACGCCCGGGCUUCGGCCUGGUUAUUCAUAACCCUUUGUUGUCCGACUCUGUUGCCUCCGGGGCGACCCUGCCUUCGGGCGGGGGCUCCGGGUGGACACUUCAAACUCUUGCGUAACUUUGCAGUCUGAGUAAACUUAAUUAAUAAAUUAAAACUUUUAACAACGGAUCUCUUGGUUCUGGCAUCGAUGAAGAACGCAGCGAAAUGCGAUAAGUAAUGUGAAUUGCAGAAUUCAGUGAAUCAUCGAAUCUUUGAACGCACAUUGCGCCCCCUGGUAUUCCGGGGGGCAUGCCUGUUCGAGCGUCAUUUCACCACUCAAGCCUCGCUUGGUAUUGGGCAACGCGGUCCGCCGCGUGCCUCAAAUCGUCCGGCUGGGUCUUCUGUCCCCUAAGCGUUGUGGAAACUAUUCGCUAAAGGGUGUUCGGGAGGCUACGCCGUAAAACAACCCCAUUUCUAAGGUUGACCUCGGAUCAGGUAGGGAUACCCGCUGAACUUAAGCAUAUCAAUAAGCGGAGGAAGGGAAAC
rnacentral:rRNA from 1 species